CGAGGGGUCGCGGAGGCCCCCUGGUGACCUGGCGCAGCGCCCUGGGACGCUGGGCUGGGAGCGUUCGUUGGGUCUGAAAGGGGACCGUGCGGGGCUGGACGGGGCGGGUGAUUCACGGGGGACUCGGAGACGGGUGUGGGCGUGGGCUGAGUCGCCUGGUAGCUUACCUGCUGGGACCCCAGAUCCAUGGAACCUCCCUCCUCGGUUAAUCGCGGGGAGGCGAGCACUGGAGAGGGCACAGCACUAGGGUCCCUCCGCCCCCGCCCCUGUACAGCCGCGCGGGAGCGCGCUGGGGCGCCGACCCCCGACUUCCCAGGUUCCUAGAGGGGCAGGGGCUCCCUGGCACCGAGGUUUAGACUCGGCGCCUGUCUUGGGGGAAGGACCCCAAAUCCAAUUCCACUCCCCCCCUCCCGCUUCGUGGUGCUUGACCCUAAGUUCGGAUCCUCAGUUGGGGAGGGCGAGGGGCUGAGAGCUCGGUGCUUCAAGGAAUAAGCAGCAAUUGGGAGGACGACCUCUCGGCGCUGAGGGUCGGGAGCAAAGGGGCGCCCUCGGGGUGCAGGGCGGGCCCUGAAGGAGGUGGGGCACGCUAAGACUUUUGGCCUCGGAUUCCAUGGGCUCCCUGCUCCACCCCGUUGGUUGGGGCCGGGCGCUCGGAUCCCGCUCUCGAAGGACCUGGCCACGGGUGGCCUUUUCGAGCCGCUCCUCGCGCCGCCCGCAGCCCACCCGGGGCUCAGGCCGCGGCAACUCCUCUCGUGCCCGCGAGAUGGCGCUGCAGGCCAGGGGGCCGGGCCGUAUGCGGCUAGCGCGUCCGGGCCGGAGGGGAGGUGGACGAGGGAGCCACCGGGAGAUGGGUACCGAGUCAGCCGUCGACGGACGGAGAUCCAGACCCAGAGACCAUACCAGGCUGCAGACGCCUGGACCAGACGCUCCGAGGCUCAGAAUGGGGCCGUGCCCUUGCGGCCGCGCUGCCAUGCGAUCUCUCCACCUGCGAGGCGGCUGCAAACUACGCUUCUGUGUGCCUGUGUUGAAGCAGCUGCUUGGUGGGAGAUACCUCCAAGGUCAAACUGCCUCUAGCUGUGAGACGUUGGACAACGUGACUUUCUUCUCUGGGCCCCAGAAUACUCUUCAACCAAACAAGUGGUAUGGACUAAAACCAAACUGAUUCCUGAAUGACCAGUCGGCUUCGACCCAGUUUCCACUGACCCCCCGCCCCCAGCCUCAACUACUUGUGACAGGAGGCAAGGACUAUGCUCCCAUUCCCUGUCGGAGAACCUGAGCCCCAGCCUCAGGCCUUGGGAUCUUGGCUGUCGCCGAGAUUCUUGGGGUGGGGGUAGGGCUGGUGGCCUGGAUGAAUUCCCAAUUAGGAAAUUGCAUUCCAGAUCCUGAAACCCUCAGGGAACUGGCCGGCUCCAGCCUCCUCCCUUGGGAUGAGGCUGCUCACUGCUCCACCUUCCACCUGGGCGCACCCCACACACUGGGGACUUUGGCAUCUAGUGCCACAGUUUGUUGGCUGUGUGUGACUCCUCCGAAAAGAAAGGGUUAUGUGUGGAGCAGCGUACUGAGGCACCUCUGUUUAAGGGUGUCCCCGAUACUCCAUGGGCUCCUUCCUUACCUGAGUGGCAUUCAAAGCACUUUCACCUGUGGGCUCUCAUCGAGGCACAGAGAUUAUGAUCCCCAUUUCACAGAGCCUGAGGCUCAGGGAGAUGAACUGAGGUGCCCAGGGCCCUCCAGUACAUGAAGGACAGAGCUCUUUCACAAUUCCUGCCCUGGAUGACAUUUGACAUUGGCUGAUGAAGUGAUGACGGUGGGAGUCAGUGUCGCCUAGGGUGGGGAGCAAAGGGGUCGAGUGGGGCCGUCUGCAGUCAGCGCCGAGCACCGAGCACCGAAGUCCUGGCCAGGAGCUGUGUCCAUGGGAGGGCAGCAGACCAGAACCGAUAGGUGAGACCCGGGGAGGGGCAGCUCUGGGCUUCCUGGGAGCCUAGUGGGACCCGCUGGGUCCCCAGGCAGUAAGAGCAGGGGCAGCUGAGGGGCCUCAGGCUUAGCUCAGGGCAUGGCCCAGGUUCCCACCAUUAUUUCUUUCUCAAAAAAUGUGGUCCUUGCUUUUGUAAUAGUGGAAAUUAAAACUAAAGCACAGAUUUACAAAAGAAAGCUUUCAUUAGAAAAUGGUAAGGGCCUCUCCCUGGGGCAGCUGACAAAGAUUAGGCUGGCCCUUAAAAAAGGAGAGUAAGAACAAUAGGAAAGGACUCCAGGUUGAGCAGCCAGAGGGGCACAACAUCCUGAUGGAGGAGCCAGACUGGCCGCCUCAGGGUUCGAUGUGGGCUGGGUCGGUGGAUCAUUACCUCAGUCCUGGUUUCACAGUUUCAGAAACUUCAGGCUUGAGGGGCAGCUCCAUUCUCAUGAAAUGAUUGUGGUCCUGGGAUUUCAGUCAUGUGGAGCUCUGCUUUUCCCAGAAUCCAUGUCUAGGACAAUGGCUGAGACUUCUGGCUGUAGUUGAACGUUCCUAGAAAUCCCUUAACCUCUGUCUUGAAGGGGAUCGAUCGUGUAGAUUCAGGAUGUUACAACCUUGUUUUGCUGACUGUUAGAUGAACAUUACCUAAAUGAUCAAAAUACUCAGACGCAGAGCUGAGGAAGGAUUUGUCCUAAAGAUUUACAGUAACAAAAAAAUACCAAUGAAGGUCAAGAACUUUUAGUAUCUUUUGGGUAUUUGUAGGCCCAGGUGAAAAGUUAUGGUUUUCAGGGAAACUGGCUUUUAAGUCCCUAACCAUCCCAGAAGAAAACACAAAAGGUGCUUUUAGGGCCGGGGAUUUAGCUCAGUGGUUCCACCGCCUGCCUCGAAAAUACAAGGUCCUAAGUUCAAUCCCUGGUACCAAAAAAAGAACAGGAUGUCUUCUGGCCCCUUGACAUCUGUGACACAGCCUAUCCAGAGGAGCUCUGGAACACUGUGUGCCAAACAUAUUUCUCCUUCUCCUUCUUCUCUUGCUUCUCCUCCUCUUCCUCCCCCAUCUUCUUCUUCUUUUUCUUCUUCCCCCAGUGCUGUGGAUAGAACCCAGGGUCUGGCCCAUGCCAGGCAAGCACUCUGCUACUGAGGUGCAUUUCAUUUUAUUUUCUUCUCAGCCCUGGGCACUUGGUAUGGUUGUUUCUGUUUCACACAGGAGAAAAGCCAAGGCUUGGCCCUGUCCCACAUUAGUUCCCUGGUGGUCUAAUGGUUAGGAUUUGGUGCUCACCACCAGGGCCCAGGUGUGAUUCCUGGUCAGGGAAGCCCUUCUUGGGUAUUGCGAAUAUGUACUAAUAAAAUUUAUUUUUAAAAAGCAGAUCACAAAGUCACACCAGUAUCUGGCUGACCCCAAGCCUGGGCUCUCCUAGGGUCCCAAUUGUUCCUGCUCUACAGCUGUUACAAAUUCCCCCAAGGGGCACACACACCCUCUCCACAUGCAAACAUGGAUAUGCGUACAGCCAGACACACAGAGAUGUGCGCACAGAGAAAUGCACUCAAAUACACACACAUGGACACAUGCACACGUGUCCACAGCAUGUGAGCAUAUGGAGAUUUGCCUGCAUGAAGACACAUGCCGUAGACAUGUUUUCCAUGGAGAAACCAGGCUGGUAACCAGCUCCUCACUCUGGGGCUGAGGUUCUCCCUUCCCCUUAGUUUGCUUGGCUAAGUCUUUUCCCUCCCCACUCCUAUGCACUGCCAUGUGCGUCUUGGGAGGAGAUAUAUUUAUUUCAGGUCUCUGUCUUCUUUCAGAUCCCUGGUUCCCCUCAAGGGGUGGGGAUGAGCUGGCCUCUGUUUUCCUCAUUACUCGUCCCCAGACCUAAAAUUCCUUAACACAGGCAGGGGUACAGAAAGUAUUUGCUGAGUGAAUAAAGCAGGGCCACACUUGGGCCCUCCCCGAAUACCCCCUGCCCAGGCCCUGAACUCUGGUCCCUGCUCCCAGCUCAUUUGGAGUCUUCGGUAGAGAGCUGAGGGCUUGGCCAUCAGUACCAGCCUUGGGCCCGGCUCCUCCUCCCAGGUGUGUAUCUCUUCGAGGCCUUCCCUCUGCAGGACAAGCUUCUGGCCAUGCACGCCUGCUCCCCAGGGGUCUGCCAGCCUCUGGGUCCCAGAAACACCUUUGCUCCCAUCUUCAGGCAGGACAAGCCCCUCCUGCCCUCCCACCUUCCCUGUGACCACAGGACCAUCCUGAGGUGCAGCUGGGACUCAUGGCUGCCACAUUUAAAGCCCUCCAGAGGCGUCCCGUGCUGGCAGGUGGAGUCCAGCCUCCUUAGCCUGGGAGCAGCACCUGGGUGAGUCCCGAACACUCGGCCCCCAGCCCAGCUGCACCCACUGUCCUGCUCCAGGUGAGUCUUGCAGACCUUGCUCAGGGCUUUCUCUUUCCUCUGCCAAGAGGCUUUUCCUGCCCUCCUUCAAAAGCGGCCCACUGGCUCCUUCAGGAAGCUUCUCCCAGAAUUGGUGCUGUUUUGUAGUUAGCAGUCAGUGACUGUGUGACGCAGGACAAGUCACUUUACCCUGCUCCCAGCACUUCUUUGAAAUGGAGGGGACAACCUCAGCUCCCAGCCCUGUCCCUCCUGAGGAGGUGCUGCCCCUUUGGUGAGUGAAGCUGAGGAAGCCUGAGGAUGGAGACCUGAGUGGGG
ensembl:lncRNA